AAGCAGAGCUUGCUCUGUGGAUCAGUGGCGAACGGGUGAGUAACACGUGAGCAAUCUGCCCCUGACUCUGGGAUAAGCGCUGGAAACGGCGUCUAAUACCGGAUACGAGCUGCGAAGGCAUCUUCAGCAGCUGGAAAGAAUUUCGGUCAGGGAUGAGCUCGCGGCCUAUCAGCUUGUUGGUGAGGUAACGGCUCACCAAGGCGUCGACGGGUAGCCGGCCUGAGAGGGUGACCGGCCACACUGGGACUGAGACACGGCCCAGACUCCUACGGGAGGCAGCAGUGGGGAAUAUUGCACAAUGGGCGAAAGCCUGAUGCAGCAACGCCGCGUGAGGGACGACGGCCUUCGGGUUGUAAACCUCUUUUAGCAGGAAAGAAGCGAAAGUGACGGUACCUGCAGAAAAAGCGCCGGCUAACUACGUGCCAGCAGCCGCGGUAAUACGUAGGGCGCAAGCGUUAUCCGGAAUUAUUGGGCGUAAAGAGCUCGUAGGCGGUCUGUCGCGUCUGCUGUGAAAACCCGAGGCUCAACCUCGGGCCUGCAGUGGGUACGGGCAGACUAGAGUGCGGUAGGGGAGAUUGGAAUUCCUGGUGUAGCGGUGGAAUGCGCAGAUAUCAGGAGGAACACCGAUGGCGAAGGCAGAUCUCUGGGCCGUAACUGACGCUGAGGAGCGAAAGGGUGGGGAGCAAACAGGCUUAGAUACCCUGGUAGUCCACCCCGUAAACGUUGGGAACUAGUUGUGGGGUCCAUUCCACGGAUUCCGUGACGCAGCUAACGCAUUAAGUUCCCCGCCUGGGGAGUACGGCCGCAAGGCUAAAACUCAAAGGAAUUGACGGGGACCCGCACAAGCGGCGGAGCAUGCGGAUUAAUUCGAUGCAACGCGAAGAACCUUACCAAGGCUUGACAUAUACGAGAACGGGCCAGAAAUGGUCAACUCUUUGGACACUCGUAAACAGGUGGUGCAUGGUUGUCGUCAGCUCGUGUCGUGAGAUGUUGGGUUAAGUCCCGCAACGAGCGCAACCCUCGUUCUAUGUUGCCAGCACGUAAUGGUGGGAACUCAUGGGAUACUGCCGGGGUCAACUCGGAGGAAAGGUGGGGGAUGACGUCAAAUCAUCAUGCCCCU
rnacentral:rRNA from 1 species